GUAGGAACCUAGACGCUGGUUCGACGAUAUUUGGCAGAUGGGUUGUCUCCUGUUAUUCAUGUUAAAUGGCGCAACUUCGUUCCUUUUUUGUGUAAACGACCCAGUUGAAAAGAAGAGAAUAAAGACAGUCACUCCCAAGGAACACUUUCCUCACUCAGAAUCAGAGGAAAUGCUCGAUUUGCUUCAUUUAAUCUUUGGGGUUGGUCGAAAACGGCUGCCUAGCGCAGCAGAAAUAUUGCGUGUUGCAACUAUUUUCAAUCAG